AUGGCUUUGCAUAGGAUUCAGCACCUGAAAGGACUCGAUUCUAAUUCAUCUACUGUGCAAAAAAGGAAUCCUCUAACAAAAAAGCUAUCUCUUGGGACCCAACAUCUUUCUCCUCUAGACUUUCAUUUGUUGCCUCCUGUGAACAGCAAUGACCAUGCCAGUCUCCAUACGGUGUGCAGCUUGAUGAAAUGUUCCAACCCUUUGAAUCCUGUCAUCUAUGAGGCUCAGCACAGGUUGAAGUGGUUCUGAUCUGGAGCUCUGGAUUUUCCAAAAAUUCAGAGGAAUUUAGAAAUUGAUCAGAAGGAUUCUAAACCAGAUUAGAAGUUUCCAGACGAGAUUCAUAAAAAUACCGCCUCCACAGGACUUCACCUUGCACAGUGUUCAGGACUGCACAAUGAUUUGAGUGUGCCUGGGAUCAGUUUGUGGGAAGUAAGCUCGCUAUUUGAAAUAGAGAUAUUGUCAUACAUGUACAGAUACUAAUUUUUUGUGCUUCACAAUGUCUGUGGAGAGGGAACAGGGAAAUUCCUGUUAAAGAUCUGUUAAAGAAAAUUUCAAGUUAAGGUUUCUAGAAGUUAAAUAUGUACUGAUUAACAGUAUCUGAUUGUAAGAUGCAGUGAACUGCAUCUGUGUCAAGGCUCUUUUGCUUUGGAUUAUUACUAAAAGCUAACAUUUCCGAACUUGUUUGUCAGCACUUAGCUGUAUCUGUGAAAGUCAGGAAGCUUCAAAAAUCAAGGUUUCUGUAACUUCAUUUCAACCAUAUGGUACUUUCUUAUCCUGUUUUGUUUUUUUUUUCUUCAAAUUUAACCCUAGUAUGUUCCUGUUAUUUAAUUUGUCGUAGCCAGUGUGACAGGACAUGAUUAUCACACAGCUAGCAAUUAAAAGGCAAAAAGACAUGAAAACAAACUUCUGGUGAAGGUGAGGGUAGCUAAAUCCCUUUAAGGUCAACUGCUGAAUUUUUGGAAUUUCCUGAUAGGAGAGUUCAACCUUAGCAAUAUUUUUAACCAGUUUUUGCACUUUAUAGGUAUGAGUAAGAUACAAUUACUAGGCUAUUUGAAUGCAAUAUGGAAAUUAAUGUCGUAAAACUGAAAGAAGUUUAUCUUGUACAUUUUCUUCUCAGUUUUACCUCUGGGUGCUGAUACAAAGUAAUAGUAAGUUGUAGUUAGGUUCAUAGUCCUGGAACAGAAUUUACAGAAUUUAACUUAAAAUCAGAAAUUUAUUUCAGUUUGAAAUACUAUUACAAAAAUAUGUGUUGUACU
rnacentral:lncRNA from 1 species